rnacentral:rRNA from 1 species
UACGUAGGGGGCAAGCGUUGUCCGGAAUCAUUGGGCGUAAAGAGCGUGUAGGCGGCCAGGUAGGUCUGCUGUGAAAACUCGAGGCUCAACCUCGAGACGUCGGCGGAAACCAUCUGGCUAGAGUCCGGAAGAGGAGAGUGGAAUUCCUGGUGUAGCGGUGAAAUGCGUAGAUAUGCGGAGGAACACCGAUGGCGAAGGCAAUCCCCUGGACCUGUACUGACGCUCAUGCACGAAAGCGUGGGGAGCAAACAGG